CCCGCAGGCUGGCUGUACCCGGUUUGGAGGCAAACCGGAUGUGACGUGUGCCAGUGGCGUACUCCCUGCCCCCAGAUAGGUACUUGUACGCCUAGGGAAAGACGCUGCUAGGUGCUGCUGCUAAAUCCCUGUGGUUUCUGCCAGCCACAUGCGGCCAUUGCCGGGUCACGUAGGUUCGUUCGCGUGGUCUUGUUACGCCUCGCUGGAUCGUGUACAGUCAUGCCGUCCUUGCGCGGCGUGAUUGUCGGUGAGUCAGGUUAAAUUCUUAAAUAGGUCGCGCCUGCGCCUAAUUGAGUCUAUAAAAGCCUGCACAUUCAGUUUUGCUAGCUACAAUGCAGUGCGGCUGGCGUGAGCUGUCUCCACGAUGCGCUUCGAGCGUGUCGAUUUCGCCGUUCUUUAUGUUGGCGUUAAGGACCUUGAAAGCAACAUGGAUCCACAAGAAAUGUGCGACAACAUGAAGGCCUUGAUUGUUCAACGAGACGGCCCCCGUCGUGCUGGUUUUCAAGGUGCUCCCUCGCUGCCUAGAAGAUGCUGAUGCGGAAUAGAAAAUGCGAAAACGUCGCUUGCUCAACCGCAAAUUGACGGCUACGCUGAAGCGCAUGCCGUGUCUGCGGAAUUUGAACCCCGAGCUUUCCAGAGUUCCUUGGAAAAUCCUCCCAUGCACCUGCCAUGUACAUUGCCCUCCUCCUCGAUGUGGCGUGCAAGAUGGCAGCAGCAGCUGUGGGAACAGUUGAAGAGGCGAAGAAAGGUCCACUUUAUAAUAGGUUGUAUGUAAAUAAAACUGAUCGACCUCAA